ensembl:lncRNA
UGGCACAUUUCCUCUUCGUUGUUUGUUUGUGGUGGUGUGUGUUUGUUGUUGUUGUUUUUAAAUCACGUACAUCACGUUUUUUGUGUCCAUUGAGAUGUUUGCAACCUUUUUGUCGGCUCCAGGAGUCGUUAUUUGUCUUGCGAUCUCCUGCAGUCGGUGUGAACGGCGCCGUCCAUAGAGCUGCUAAACACAUUGGGGCUGAAAACUGGUUAACUAGUUAGAAAGGGGAAAAAAACAAUCACUGUACACCCAACGUGAUCUGUUCAAACAAGCACCUUUAUUGAUGACACAUGCAUUUUGAGUGAGAUCUGCAUGAUGAAUGUGUAGUAAUCUAUGGUGUAUUGCUCAGUGUUAAUACACAAGUGUACACGUGUUUCUGUAUCGCAAAUAACCAAACACUUAAACUGGAUAAAUAAUAGAUGUUGAAAGUACUACAUAUAAACACAGGUAAGUGAUUUGUCUCUGCCGCUGAACAGAUUAGAGCUGGGAACUGGUUAGUUAGACGAAAUUAUUUUAGCCUGCAUGUCAUGAUCUGUGUAAACAAGCUUUAAUUAUUAAACACGUUGAUCCAUCAGUGUGAUCAUCAGAUGAAUUAUUAUUACACAUUGUCACGUUUUUGAUUGCACUUUUCAAUUCAAGACCGAUCACAUCACUGAAUCUUACCAUGCUGUUAAGGAGUUAUAUGUAUAAAAACAAGCUUAAUUUUGAAAUAUAUUUCACAAUGAUCUGUCAGUGUGAUCAUCUUCCAAGAAUACACACGUAUUGUUAUUACACAUCGAGUGCAGAGACCCGUGUGUGUGCGUUCGUGUGUAUUCAUGAAUGAUCAAGUAGAUCAAUCUUGUAAUAUUCUUGUAACACAUCUGGAAGUGUGUGUGGCUUUGGAAAGUGUAAAUGUUAUUCAUCAUACACUGAGAAUUAUUUGCAGAACGGUAUCUGUAAUGUUUUUGACACAUUGUCCAGUCUGUUUGGCUAUUACCCUGUACGUUUAUGUAUUCCAUGUAUUAUAGGACUGAAAGCGAAUUCCUUCCUCAGCUGUCCAUGUCUAUUCGUAUAACCAUGUCUGGAUUUAUUUUGGACGUUGUAGGACGUCAUAUACAAAUUUAAUACGUGCAGUUGAGAUAAUCUGCCUUUGAUUUUGGACCAAGGAUUCUUUAGAUUUCUCCAGAGCCUCAAGCAACACCGAUCGCACUGUGGGUUUAUUUUGUCUCUGCAUAUUGAUGAGCCUUGCCUAGUAUAUGCAUACAUGCAUAAAUACAUGAAUAACUAGAAUAUUAUUUGGAUAUGUACAAUAUGUAUUUUUUAUAUAUAAUAUGUGUGUGUAUGCUGCUGAUUUGGACUGGUAUCUCUGCCUUGGCAUGCAGGCAGAGCCAUGUUCUGCCAACUCCCUUUUCGGCCUCUGGGGAAGAACUAGAGGAGGUGGGAUAAAAUUAGAAGACAGGCAUACAUUUCCGAUUUAAUCCCCCCCCAGUUCGUGUCUCGUAUACUGUAUGCAUUAGUCAGUGACAUACAGUCCUCUGCAAAGUUUGUGUUUGGAUUCUUCCCCACACUACGCAGCCAGCUGUUGGAGAUAGUAAAUGAGUCUAAUUUUCCACCAGAGUCCUGAGUAUAAUUGCGAUAGUAGGUGUUGCUGUGGUCCCUGAGGCUCCUUGAUCACCUUCGGUGUAUUGUAGUGAAGCUGAUAGCCAGCCAUAUUGAUUGGGUUUGUCCUGAAAACAACUCUCUUGGCUCUGUAAUUGCACUCACGUGUGAUUUUCUUGUUGGUAUUAGAUAUGCUAUACAUAACUGUUAUGGUCAUAUAAAAAGUCAGGUUUAUUAUGUGAAAUAACAGCUUACUUCAUUUAGAAUAAUAUAUAUUUUUAUUUUUGAAAAAUGCUAAUCUAAUAAGUAAUGAACAAUCAGCUCUGUGUAUUAGGUGAACCGUAUGGGAAUCGGAGUCAUUAUUUGUUCUUGGUUCUUGUUUUCUGAGUAAUUAGACAGAUUAACAUAACGGUAAAUAAUGUCAUGUUAAUAAAUCCGUCGGCCGUAAUGGCUGCCUGAAGGCUAUGACCUGUAGACAUCACCAGAUGUUGCACAUCAUCCCAGGUAAUGUUUUUUCUGGCUUGUAAACCAGCCAUUUAUUUUCUGCUUGUUUUUUGAGGCCUUUUUUUUUUUUGCCUUUGGCUUUGACUUCAGUACGUGAUCUGCAGCUCAGUGUUCGGAUCAGCUGAUUGGCUUGACACAACCGUAGAAAGAAACAACCGUAAACAACCAAAAAAAACCCCUCCAAAACACUGUGUCUCAGGGAGAUUGCUUGGAUCUGAGAAAUUAAUACGUGCCAGAAUUCAUCCUGCUGCUGUUGACAGUCUCAUCAUCAAUAAAAAAAAAACACACACACACAAAAACCAGGAGUUUCACCGAUGAGGUGGUGCUUUGGAUCAGUUCUGCUUUUUAAAAAAAAUUUUCCCCCUCCCUGACAGACUUUCAUCAUUCUGUCACUGUGGUACAGGUGAAUCUUUCUCUCAUCUGUCUAUAAGUGUCAGACCUCUACAGGCUUUUUAUGUACUUUGUAUCCUGGAGAGCGUUCUUGUUUUCAACCAAUUUUUCCUUGUGACUGAAAGUAUUAUUUAGUCAUCAAUCACUGUGAUAUUGUGCAGUUUACCAGUCUGCUUGCUGUUGGUCAGCUUUCAGGUGCAUUCUUGUUCCCUAACCGUAAUGAUGAACACACCUCAGGUUUUAAUUUUGUCUCUUACAAGGGGAAAAAUGAGGUACUUGUGGUCUGGAAGGAAAAAAAAAUCACAAAAAUGGUUAAAGGUGACUUUGGUAUGUAUGGCAACCUGCUGAACUCGAAUAUUCAUCUUCAGCCAUGAUUAUAUGGCAUCUGAAACGUACUUGCUUUUCUACAGUACAUCCUAAUGCCUUACAUGUACAGCAACAGUACCAGGUAUUUGGGAGACAUUGACCCCAAGCAAUUCAAUUCAAUUCAGUUCAAUUGUAGACCAUUUGGUGGUCCAAAGCAAAGAAGCUCAAAGUAGCUGAGCAUUAAUUGUCCAAUGGCUUCUGGUGUCCCUGUCCUGGACUAUACAAAAAAAAAAAAAAAAGACUGACCUAUAUGCUACUCUCUAUAUAGACAUAUAAAUAUGUAUACGGAAUAAAACACUUGGGGUAGUGCAGUUAUAGGAAAAUAAUCAAGGUGUGAUGCAACCUGAAGUUCAUUAUUUUCCUAUAACAAGGGUUUAUUUCUCUUAUACCACAGCAAUUUUCCCAGCAAGUGCAAUUUCUCAUCUGUUAAUGAACAACAUGUUGUAUUUUUAGCCAUUUGUAGUUUCAUAUAAUGUUAAUCACUUACUUGCAUUAAUAUGACAGAACAUUGCAUCUUGUUACUGAGGAUUUGCAAAACCCUGUGUACUGAAGAAUUUCCCUCAGCACUGACACAGGAGACUCCUUCCAUAAAUGUUAAAUAAACACCUCCUACCUAAAAGCUCGACCACAUCAAUGAUUGUGUUUUUCUUUGUUAAAUAACAGCGCUGCCCUUUUUGUAUUUCAUUUAUCGAUAGUCGUAUGGUACGUGGAUUACCUGGAACUGAUGCGAAAGCGAUGUUCUCGAAAAUUAAUCAACUUCUGACCAAUCAGAUUCAAGAAUUCAACAGCACUGCGAUAUUACAAACUUGUCUAGUAGUCCGUACGAGUGCUGGAACGUUGUCCAGGGGGUAUUUGGUAUUGUAGCGUUUUCUAUUAUUAUUUUUAAACGUGUAGUCUGUUUGCGUGUACUAUUGUAUACGAGACAAGAGUGCAAAUUCUGACCUCUUUUCCCGUAGAGUGCUAAAGUUAACCGUGUAACUUUGCCCCACUUGGUUUUAAAAAUAGAAAACCGGAGUGCUGGGGUGGGAUGGGGAGUGUGGUAGCCGCUACCGACGAUUUCGUACAGCUAACGUACGUGUGUGUGUGUGUGUGUGUGUGCUACCUUGACAGAUCUGGAGUGCAUCUCUGAUUAUCCUGUCUCUCUUACACGUACACCUCGAGGCAAAGUCCUGUGAAAUAUAACAGCCAGGAAGUUAACCCAGAGUCGUGUUUCAUAACGUGACAUGCAAGGCAGAGUCAUGAUUGGAUUUGAAACCUAAUCGAGAGAUGGUAUCGCUGGGCGAACCCGCACUCGCAGCAUAAGAAGCUCUUUCUUCGAGCACACACUGCUCUUGUUUGUUUUCUCGCAAGCCGCUCGAUCCCUUUGAGGCUCCGUGCGCUGCAGCAUGCAGCGGCUCACGGUUCAAUCUGCAGACUAACCUAGAUUUCUGUAGUGCCGCUCGUAAAUAACCAGGGGUUCAGUUUCAGAGCGAAGAGGUGUCUCGUUCUGUAUACAGUUUCAUCAUGUAACACUGCACCAUCUGCAGAUUUUUGACCGAGAAUCAUUUGAUCACGGGAGAGCACAGAGCCGAAAGAACACGAAAUAUACUAAUGCUUUAAGCCGCUGCUUUUCAAACGAAAAUGAGCAAAUCCCAAUUCAUAAGAGAUGUGCUAUUGUUUAAUAAUGACCAAUUUGUCACUUCUUAAACAGACAGUACUACCUCCCUGAAUUGUUUUGAUGCAUAAAUGAUUUUAAAUUACUACUUUAAAUGCUCAUCUCUAAUGAUAAAUUAUGCUUGUCAGUUCCUAAAUUGUGAGAAUACUUUAGCUGUUUCUGCCCUAAUUUCAGGGGCCGUAGUCACAGAAACAGCAAAAUCCUUUUUAACGUCCAUUCCUGAUGAGGAAGGCACAUAUUGACGGAUAAUUCUUUCAGCAAAUAGGCCUGAAUACAAGACUUUAAUCUACAAGCAAACUCGCGUCGACCCAGUUUCAAGUAAGACUGCUUAUGAUUGUUUUUCAGUGUGUAAGAACUUUUGGAAAGUCACUGGGGGGGGGAACAAAGACGCACCACACGGUCUUGGGAGUCGUCUUUUACUGAUCACGUCUACGCAGAAUGGAAGAAAACCAAAAGAAAUUUUCAUUACAUCCUCUGUGUUUGAGUUGAUGUCUCUACGAGAAAUGGGUCAAAACCAGCAACAGCAAUUACCAUGUUGUUAUUGCUGUUCAUAUAACCAACUCUCUGAGGUUUCUAUUAUUUUGGCUUAAGCUUUGAAAUUUUCAGAUUCUUUGCUCUAUCCGAGAAUGGCUUAUAAACCAAGUCCUGAAAUUAUUCACAGUUGGGGAGUAGUUAGUCUUAACUAAAAGCUCAUUUUCUGUGAACACCAGGGAGGUUUUUUUUUUUUCUUUCUUUCCUACAGCAAUUUUUAAAAGCACAAUCUCUUCAUUUUGUCUCAAAGCCUACAAAAUUGCUUCACCCUUUCACUCAUCUGUGGCACUUAAGAUUUUUCUUCCGAAAUCUAGUCCUAAUUGUUAGAAAUUCCCCCAGGCUUGACAUGGUCUGAGUAAUUGGUGCACCAAUAUCAUCAACUUGUAGCAAGCACUCCAGUCGAGCAUUAAGGCUUUGAGCUGCAUCAGAAGCCGCUUCCCUUUUGUCCAAACCUUGGCUUUGACAUUUUAAAAGAAAAACAGCUGCGGGUAGGCAUACGACCUUGCGGCUUUGCCUUUGCAGAGUAUUCUCGCAGUGCUGUGAUGAACCUGCCUUUCAAUAGCCAGAAUGUUGGGCUUGGUGCAGGAAAGAUUGCAGUGGUGUAAAUUUUUUUUUUCCCCCUCCUCAAUUUAAUAUUAUUUCAGAAAGUCUGGAGCUACUUUAGAGACACUGUCUAAUUCAUUGAAUAUUUAAUUAUAGUGCAGUUGGCAGAGUUUGUUGAGUUUGUUAGUCAAACUGGGGACUUGAACACUUUUGGCUGGAAACUGAAUAAAGAAAUAGCUGUGUAGUCAUUGUAUAAUUAUCAUGGACACUUCCAGAUAUUGGGAGUAUGAACCUAGAUUAUAAAUUGUAGUUACAGAUCUAGCUACUUCUAUAUUUUCGUGUCCAAGGCUGAGUGAUCAGAUCAAUAGUUAGUUAAGCGGCUGCAAUUUGACACCACCACUGUGGAUAGUGCCAAUUAAUGUUUCCCACAACCAGUUUGUCUUCAGCAGCUCCAUGAAUAGAGCAGAAGGAAGUGGCUUCCCCCCACCCCCCCAUCCUCAUCUUUUCUUUAGCUCCCCAGCCCGGUGAGUUUGAGGUGCUCUUUGACCCCUCUGCAAAUUCCCCAGCUUCUCCUGAAGUGAGAGGGUGUUUGCUGUGAUGUAGCUAGAGUAAGUAAGAGGGUAAUUGUUGAUUUUGACUAUACUGAGCUCAGUGAACCAGUAAACCCCAAAGCCAGUGCAGUCACAGUUCUCUAAACCGAGAGACCUAUAGAAAAGGACCACCUGCAAUUUCUUAACAGAUUAGUCCUAGUGAACAGCAGGGAAAGUGAGUGUGCUCAUUCGGGGGGGGGGGGGUCAUCAUUCAGAUUCAGAGCUGCCUGUUCAUCCCCACCUGUUCUCUAACAAAAGACUCAGUCAUAUGAAUGGCAGCUGCUUUCACGCCAACUCUUUCGAAAUCAUUUACCUUAGAGCAAAGGACUUGCCAACUACCUAAGUUAAUUGGUGACACAUUAACUAAGAUUAGGUGUCACAUUUUUACUGGAUGCAAAUUCCAAAGCUUCUAAAGCAUUUUGGAUAUUGAACCAAGUACGUUUAUUACAAAUAUAACCCAUCUAUUAUCGUUAAAAGACCGACCGUGUGAAUGAAACGAAAAAGAAUGCUGGGUCUUAUCUUUGCAGAUAAAAAUAAGAGGUUAAGGCUGUUUGUUCCUGUGCAAACCGCUUGACCUGAUUGCACCUUGAUAUCCUUUGAGCGCCGUGUCCUUGACGCGUAUCUGUUUGGAAAAUAGACUCAUUUAAACCCUAAACGUCUUACCUGGAAAGAGAUUAAUGAAUACUGACUAAUGUCGAGAUCCCACUUUUGAAGUGGUGUAGUAAAAAGCACAUCCGUUGGAAAUAUGACUUUGAUGUCUACUAUUCCGGCUGAGGCUUCUGGUGAGGUGCUUUAUUACCAAUUAAACACAGGAAUUCAGAUCGAGGCACUCGAGUUUAAAAUUCAGAGCACCAGCUUUUCUGGUGCAUUCCUAAGCUGCCAAGAACGCGACAGCUCUGUGGUGGCGCUCAGCAGAAACGUAAGGCUCGUCUAUAUUGCAGUGUUACUUAAGAAAUUAUUCCGCGUCCUAAUGGAAGCUUUUGCAACCAAGCUCCUUAUGACACAGAACAGAGGGUGCUGCAUUUACCCUGAUCACCCGAAGGAAUUGUCUGGAAAAACGUCUGUUGAUAAAUUGUUCUUCUUCUCUUUUCUGUACAAGUCCAUUAUUUCUGCUUGUGUUUCAUUUCUUUCGAUCUAGAUUAAGACACAACAUUUCUAAACAUGGUUGUUUACACUAUAGGCACUUAUAAACUGAAGUGAGAAGUCAAACAGCUAAAGAACUUGUAUUCUUUCCAUGUGGAUACAGCCAGCUGUUGUCUAGGGGACCGGAAAACCCGAGCAGCGUAUUAGUAUGGGAGAGGUGAUCAUUAGAUAAGGCUCAUCUACCAUGGCAACUCUCGAAAUGUUAAACAACUCUGACGUCUUUGCGGACGGAGAGAGCGCAGGCGUCAGGCAAUCCAUUGGGGGAAAUGGAAAGAGAUGACGACAUGUUUGACGGAAGCAAACCAUGAAAUCCUCCACCUGGCCUUUGACUCUGGCAGCGCUGACCUAGUAAACAUGGCCAGAGAUGUGGACACCACGAAGCAGACCUGUGUUACUUCUCGCAGUUAAACACCAACGGCUGCUUUUCACACCGACCAGCGGCUUCGCCUCUGAAUGGAGGACUUUGUCGCUGCUUCUGGAGAUGUUUCGCUCACACUUGUUCGCCAGCAGCUCACAGUGAGCUGACCCUGUACAUGUUUCUUUUAGUAAGAGCUGAUGUUGAGUCAUUUUACAAACAAACGCUGUGGAUACACCUUUGGGUAUACAGUACAAUAUAUUGUAAAUCUGUAUUGGGAUAUAACUUUAUUUAUCGAGUAUAUUUUAAAAUAUCAACAUUACCGCUGCAUUUUUAUUUUUUUUUGCCUAUAUCGGCAGCAUAUUUCUGAGUAAAACACUUGGAGGCAUGAUGUUAUAGGAAAAUAAUCAAGAACAGGAAGGUGUGAUGUGGAUUAUUUUCCAAUAACAGCAAGUGUUUCAUUCCUCCAUUCCUGUUUUGCUUAUUAAAACGGGCACUUUUUAACCAUUUAUAGUUACAAUUAAUGUGUGAACAUUGGUUCACACAUUGAUUCAUUAAGUUCAAACAUUCUCUUGAAAUUAAAUUAGAAAGUCUUCCCUCCUUAGACGUAAGCUCUGACUGUUACACUGGAGACUCUUUCCAAAAUUUCACAUAAAUGUGAAAUAAAUGUUUUGUUACGUUUGUUAGUAGCCUAAGAUUAUGUAGAUUGUCUAAGUGCCUGUGAACGAGCUGUUGCCAUAGAAACGAUAAUAUUUAAUAUAUCGGAUUAGAUUAGAAUUCCGCAAGGCCGUGGUAUAAAAGUUGCUGUAACAUUGCUGUAUUUUUCCACAGUCUAGUUUGUGAUGGCAAACAUGAGGCAGUCUCCUAACUAGUAUGUACUUAUAGGUGCUGAUGUGGGUACACAUCCCUGUGCAAACUACAAUUUGUCAGGUGUUUGCUACGUCAGGUAUACAUAUAUAUUGCAGAAGCUUUUAAGUCUGCAGCAGAGACAUGGAGACCUGUAGUUACAGUAAAGUACUAUAGACUCAGAGCAAUGGAAUCACCUGCUUGUUUUCCAGAAUGGAAACCAUAAUUUUCCUCCAGUGUAGUCCCAUAGUUUCACUGUAAUACUUUUAGUGCGGCACUUCACCCCCCCCCCCUCACUUCCAUGUUUAACUGUAUCUGGUGAACAAAAUCAUGGGCUUGCCUCCUCCUCCUGUCUUUGAUUUUUUUUUUUCCAGAAGCAGGAACCUUAAAAGCUGCCUUUCUGAUUUAUCUCAGAAGCACAAACACUCCUUAGCCCACACAGUAGCAACAAUUUUAUUAAAUGUACUUUUUGAGAAUGCGUAAACUAUCUUUUGUAUUUCGUGUCCGUACGCUGUAAUAGUUUCUCCUUCUCCACAUGCUGGUUCUUGUACCUUCAGGUUGUGUUUUACUUAGCUUCAUGAUUAACAACAGGUUGCCUCUGUCGAAACAGGUGGCGUUCUUGUUCAAACAUCUUAAAUGGUGUACUCGAAGUUUACACUAGCAUCGGCUUUGUUGACAGCUACUGUGCGUGUUUGAACUAUAUAUUGGCCCGAGUCUUUUAAUCCAAGGUGGGCUCCGCAGAUGUGUUUCUUUUUAGCAGGUUACGUGCGCAAGUUGUGUGCCUCCGUGGAGCCAUCUGCUUCUCCCUGAGGAGUUUGCGGAGUGUCUGGGGAGGGAGGGGUAGCGCCACGCUGCUCUCGGCACACGGAAUCCACCUUCAGAAGCACAGCGGCGUUCUCACACCCCGAGCUUCGCGGCUUUGAUACGUGUGUGUCAAACACACAGAGGGUGGAAAUAGAUUUGCUUCCUUCCACAGCACAGCACCGUGGUUUGUUCUGAGCAAACAUCGAUCAUCUUUGAAGUGCCGUCUUUCAGCCCGCAGUCGUUCAGCACUGUAGCGUCUUGUCCUCGUAAUGCCCUCCCAAAUGCGCGCACACACACACAGAGAGAGAGAGAGAGGAGAGAGAGAGAGGGAGAGAAACUGAGUAAAGACACGAAGGAUAAGGUAGUGCGGUAGUGUGUUUUUUUUAUUUUUUUAUUUAUUUUUUUUUUCAAGUCCAAUUCCCAAGAGUACUCUAUGCCUGUUUGUUGAACACGCUCUGAAUGCCGUUGUCACCCCUUUGACUAAGGAAACGUGACAAGCCACUUUCUUUUACCUCCACCUUCAGUCCCCCCCCCACCAAACCCGUUGUCUCUACCCAAGAGCAUGUCCGCUCUCUGUCCUUCCUCACGCAUCAUCCUGCGCAGUGUCAUCCCAGAUCAGUGAAAGUGAGGAAACGGCAGCAUUUAGCAAAUCUGCUUUAACACGCUGGCAUCGCCUCGGUGUGAGCUGAGCUGCUCAUUCACAGGACCAGAGAUUCGCUCUCUCUGCAGCCACUGCAGAGCCAGUGUGUGUGUGUGUGUGUGUGUGUGUGUGUGUGUGUGUGUGUGUGUGUGUGUGUGUGUGCUUGCUUGCAAGAGAGCGAGUCCAUCUUGCGAUUAAAGCAAGGAAGCCUGUAGCCUGACAUUAUCAUGGGUGCAGAUUUGAGAGUGUGAUUGAAGACAUGUUUGUCCUCGAUUAUAAGAUUCUCUGUCCUUGAAUGUCCAGCUAAAGCAAUUUGUUGCUUUAUGUGUUAUUUGAUAAACACACAUACACACACACAAUAUUGUAAGUUGUGCAGAUAAGGUGUCGUCUGCUGUCUAGACUUUUUUUUGCCGUGACCUUGCUGAGACUAUUUUUGUCCCUUUACAUGGACAUGGAACAGAUAGAGCUGUGGUUUGAGGGAGAUGUAAGCAAGGGGCUGGCCAGGUUAUUUCAAGAAUCAACAGUGACAAAGAAGCAAGAUGAGACUUUGGCAACGCCACUCUGGGGACUUGGUGAUAUCUUAGAUAGAUGUCUGUAUCUACACCGACCAUGUGUCUCCACCUAUUUUUGAAGAUGUACCAUUUCCAGAAAUACCCCAGCCCUGCUUAAUAACCUGCUUCUAAACCACCACUGUUGGAGGUUAACAGGUUGUUCUCACCGAGCUGUUUUUACACCCAGGUUGGCCUUGGAAAGCUACAAGAGACACAUCAGGUCUACUUGGAGGUUGUUGCAUUACACUUUGGGGUGGGUCUGGAGCUGUGAUUGGUAAGCAGUCUCAGUGUGCCAGCUGUCACUACCACCAGCUGUCUUUCUGCACCACAGGGCUGAUGGUGGUCUUCAUACAGCAUUUGAGAUCCCUGAUAAAACAAGCGAAAUGAACAUCUUUAGGCUUUAUCCCAGUGUGCUCAUCAGCCUGCACUUUAAAGGGUUCAAAAAAAAAAAGAGGCGUGCAGACAGAGCGGCCAUUACUGCUUUGAUUACAGGCUAUUUCUGGAUAAACGCGCGUUGAAUGCAGCUCAGACAUAAUUUGAAAGGUCACAGUGCGCAUCUUGUUCUUCGCUGGCGGAGAUGUGCUUGGAGGCAAAUAUAAUUUAUUUUGACAAGUUGUCGAGAAGAGGAACUUUAGGAUAGCAGUCGGUGUAUUUUCGGCUCCAGACCAUUUCAUUCCCAGGAAGGUCAAUAAACCCCAAUUUCCAGAAACAAUUAGGAAUAUUAUUUGAUCUCCAUAUCCCCCACGGCAACAGUUUAGUUAUUUCAGGAAGCAUUUGGAGGGUUGGCAAAGCGAUCACAUUUCCUAAGCCUAAGCCAUUGCCUGGAAGUAGCCGUUCCUGUUUUCAGGUUUGAAUCUCAUUCUCAAGCUCUGCUCGUAUCUUGAAAUGAUUUCAAAAACCUAAUCUAGGCCAGAUGUUGGUCUUGGUAGCAGCUCAUCUUUAAUAAGUUCCCUGGGGAGACAUGUCAGGAUUGAAAUGUAACGGAAUCUCGUUUUGCUCGGAUGUAAUUAUACGGAGAUACCUACAGAUUUCUGAAGGGUUUAUGAUAAUAAUAAAUUUGACUUCAUCUCCGGUUUAAUUCACAUGCCACCCCACACCACGGUGUUGCCGUGAUGUAAUUCCAGAGAUCUAAGGAGCCUUGACAGAGGAAUAUGGUAAACCCCACAUAAGCUGUAACUCUUCUUGAACAGCACUUCACACAACUAAUCAAUGUGUACACGGUUUCUGCUGUGCUUAAACAUUUCCUAUUUCCCAUGGUUGAUUUAGCUUUGCCUCGAAUUAAAAAUGCAUGUGUGGUGUCUGGUAGGCUUCCGUAACCUUUUUAAAAAGUGUUUGACAAGAUCAGGUGAUCUCCCAAAUGCAGGAUAUGAGCAGUAAACUUAGUUAAUUCUUGAUUAUAGGUUAUUUAGAUUCGGACAAUCUUUGUGUUGAUUAAUAGAGUGAAGGAAUUUGUGAAAGUGCAACGUAAUCUGUUUGUAAAUGAGGUUGUUUUUUUGUUGUUUUAAUAUUUCCUUCAGACCACAGGUGCCCCGUGUGAGACAAGAAUCUUAGGAGUCUUUGUGAUGAUCCAUGGGAGAGUAAAAGCUUCCCAUUGUUGCAAGAAUGUGUGCAGAGUCAAGAUGGCUGCCGCACCCCUUACUCAAGUAUCACCAUUACUGCCAGAGCUUGUGGCUUAUCACUGUGUUAUCUAGACUAUACUUUGCUGCCUAACAGCUCCAGGGUCACCGGUUUGAUCCUGAAUUCGGGUUACCAUCUGUGUGGAGUUUCUUCUGGGUUUUCUUGUUUCCUCCCACAUCACAAAAGCAUGAUGGUAGGUGCAUUUGGUACUCUAAAUCUAAAUUUCCUCUAGGUCUAAUUGUACGUGCAGGGUGUGUCCCGGAUCCAUCUCAACCCUGACUAGGAUAAAGCAGUUACUGAAGAUAAAUGAAUAAGUUGUAUGUCAUUUCAAGUUUCGUUAAAGUAAUAGGGAUUUAUUUAUUUUUUAUUUGGUACGUUAAGUACAGUGUAGCCAUCUGCCAAAAUUAUUGUAGAUGUAAGCCACAUUUUACUGUAAAAGCAGCAGCAAAAUGACUCUUACAGUCGAGUUAAUAUGAUCCUGUAACGGAAUCUAUUAUACUAUCUGAAAAGGAGGAAAAUGUUGCUGACAGCUUGGCACUUGAUUAAGUCGGAUUUGUAUGUUUUGAUAUCGCUCUCGAAUGCCUCAUGAAAGAAUCAGCCUGAUUUUUCUCCAAACUGCACCAUUUCGAAGACCUCAUUAAUCUGGUGGGGUUUUUUUUUUUUUUUUUUUUGUCCUUCUGGAUUCUGCUAGCUCAUUAAUAGUUGGCCAUCACUCAAGAAUUUACAGUUUCAAAACCACACAAUGGCUCCCGGCACUCUGGCCUUGAGCAAGGGACUUGGUACCUCUGAUCCAGCCUGAAGUGGCUACUGUCAUUCACUUUGUACUGUCCUGUGGUCUUGAAAUCCACGGUUACGGAUAAGCAUUCCACAUAUUUUACAGACAUGCGUCCCUGCAAAAACCUAAAUGUCAAAUAGUUGUCAAUUCCCUCAAAACAACUCUGAUUUGUAUCUUUACCUGACAUUUCUUGCAAGUUGUUUGACUGUUUUGUUGUUCUAGGAAGCAGUCAUUUAUUUAUUUGUUUUCUUUUUAAACAAAUGUCGCACCGAUGCAGAACUGCGAAAAUCAGAUUCUUUUGAACGGUUGUUUCAGGUCAACAUAAUGCCGUUGAGUGUUAAGUGGGCCCAUGUCUGCGAUCAUUUUCCCUCCUUCAGCGUUUUAAAGCAAUUUCAUUACAUUUUGUGAAAUAUUGAGAGAGGGGGAAAAGUCCGUGUUGGUGUUCAUUCAUAAACCGCUAAAUCAUAUUUUUUUGUUUCAGUGGUGUUCAGCUUAAAUAACUGAGCUGCAUUCAGUGCUGUCUUAUUAUUACAGCUUCAAGGUUCAAUCUUCUGUGUAUUUUAUUAUGCACGCAUAUUGAAGGUCAUACAUUCAUAAACAAACGAUCAGAAAUUGUUUUGUCUUUUCCCCCUAUUGUUGAAUUUAACCUCCUUACACUCGGCAGUCUGCGGUAACAAACUCAGCAUUGUUCCUCUCUAAUUACCGGUGCUAGGGCUUCUGGGUGCUGGAGCAAAUCUAGAAAUAAUGACAAAUUAAGAGGUGGAGCAUUUUUUUAUUUAUUUAUUUAUUUUUUUCGUACCACAAUGAGGGUAAAGUUCCUGCAGGUUUGUUCAACAAGGCAUUUGUUGUUUUGCCCUCAUUUUCCAGAAAUGAAUGCUCUGAGCUUCCCUGGUUCAGUGACCCUGUCUGAGUGGAAUGCGUUUGCAGGCAGAGAGUGACUCACCACCUUUAUAAUCCUAUCCAAUACCAUGGGCCCCUAUAAGCGUUGUGCACAAAGGGUGUUGCCACGGUGCCAUGGGGAAAGCACUUUCUGACUUCUGUUUCUAACAGUCUUUAUAGACCUUUCUCUGUAGGAAAAAAAAUACAAAUUUGACCGCCAGAGGCCUCUGCCCUCUGUGGUAAUGUGAACUUAUUUAGGCCUUAAUGUUGCACUUGAGGCAAAGAUAGUUAUAGUGAGGAAAGGUAUCAGGUUUAGCUUCACUGUAGAAACGUAGUGAGCCUUGUCAGCUCUGCUCUGCUGACUUGACUAUAGCCUCUUGUUCUAAAGAGGAAUUUAGUGACGGGUUAUCAUUUUUAGGCCCUCACGUCGCGAGUGCUGAAAGGAUGUCUUUAUCUGCAACUGGAGAUGGGUUGAAACCCAUGCUUUCAUGUGCCCAUGCUUUCAUCAGCCUAUUCUUACUGGCUAUGCAAGCAGGAAAAACAAACCAUGACCCAACCUUGUCCAUCACAACGAUGCUCCAUAGGAAUGAAGGAUUUGCAUUUGGCAAGCUUCUGAAUGGAGCAUGAAAAGUGAUGGAGAGUUUCAGUUUUCAAAGACGGGCCUACUAUUGCCUGAAUUAGGUUUGUUAUUUGUUAAUCAAUAGCUUUCGCAGGCUGUUUUUCAGUCAAGCGCACUCACUCAUUUAAGAGUGACUGGAACUUUUGCAACUUUUCCAAACUGGCUGGACUGUCUUGUUUUCUUUGGUGUGGGUUGUUUUUGACUCUCCCAUUGCAUUUACCAUUGCCCAGCCUCUUUAUAGGAAGCACUGGACUAGUAAGGCUUAAUGCCCCUGUCCAUGCAUUAAGGUUGGCAUCAUGUUUUACUGCAGCAUCAUUUACUGCUUGUGUCAGAAAAGAAUGAAACUCCACUGUAGAUCCUACUACUGUGUUAAGCUGAAGAUUUGGAAAUUUGUAUUUGUUAGGCAGUAGGUCAGGUUUCCUCUUUACUUGUGGGCGAUUUGUUUUAUUUGCAUGUAAACAGGAAUAAAGAACUAGCUGGCAUGCUGUACAAGUCUGUCUGUCAUCAAGGUUCGUCAUUGUGAUAUUAGACAAUGAGUAGAGAGCAUGGUGGUGUUGGUUAUUCACCAGCAAUGAUUGACUCCGUGUUGGCUGACAUGGAAACAAAUGGCUUGGCAAGCAUUGAGUGUAUUUAAAAUCCAAACAGGAGACACACUGCAGGGGUAGUAGAUGAUGGCUGGCCACUGACGGUUCUUGGCUCCGAUGACUGUUACACAGCCCCAAUCAUGUUCCAUCAGCUCUUAAUCUGGAUUCACAAAGGGGUUCCUAACCUGAAAAACACCACCUUGUUAUUCAGCACAGAUUCCCAGUAGUAAUCCUUUUUUUUUUUUCCUCUUCUGUUUAUAUAUCUCUUUGAUUCCACAAUGCCGGUGUCUGGUUGUUGGCUAACAUGAACCAGACUUCAAAAACAGACAAAUUGAUUAUUUUUGUCUUGGUUAGAACGAACAGGCAUCGAGAGAAACACUACAGGCUAUCAAGAGGAAAGCUUACUGUACAAGGUUAUUGUUGUUUUUACGAGCGUACUAAAGAAGCUUUGGUCUGUUCUCACUGGGGCCCGGAUACCUCGGAGCGUGAGAGCCAGCUCUUCUACCGCCUCUCCCCUCAUAGCCUGAAUCCUGGCCAGAGUGGCACUGAGAGGAGGGCCUCUUGGGAAAUCAUCUGUAUUGUUUGGAACUGCAUCCCUCUCUUCAAACAUAUAAACCCUGCUGCCCACUGCCUUCCUUUAGAGCACUCGUUCUCUUGCUGUGAGCUUUACUUGAAAGGACCAGUAUGAAUAAUAAACCCCCAGUGUUCAGUGUUCUGUCUCUGCCUCCCCAUGAAACAAUAGGGAAAAAGCUAUGCAUUUAUUCCUGCCUCCCCCACAAAAAUGCUUCAGUCAGUUGGUCAGUGGACUGACCCCCUGUCUUAACGCAUUUUACUUCACAGUCUGCUUGGUGCAGAGUGCUUUUCAGGGACAUGUUUGGUAAUGGCUGAGUGAGUUUGCCGAGCCAGGACAGAGAAAGC